GAUGAACGCUGGCGGCGUGCUUAACACAUGCAAGUCGAGCGAAGCGCUUAAGUUUGAUUCUUCGGAUGAAGACUUUUGUGACUGAGCGGCGGACGGGUGAGUAACGCGUGGGUAACCUGCCUCAUACAGGGGGAUAACAGUUAGAAAUGACUGCUAAUACCGCAUAAGACCACAGGGUCGCAUGACCCGGUGGUAAAAACUCCGGUGGUAUGAGAUGGACCCGCGUCUGAUUAGCUAGUUGGUGGGGUAACGGCUCACCAAGGCGACGAUCAGUAGCCGACCUGAGAGGGUGACCGGCCACAUUGGCACUGAGACACGGCCCAAACUCCUACGGGAGGCAGCAGUGGGGAAUAUUGCACAAUGGGGGAAACCCUGAUGCAGCGACGCCGCGUGAAGGAUGAAGUAUUUCGGUAUGUAAACUUCUAUCAGCAGGGAAGAAAAUGACGGUACCUGACUAAGAAGCCCCGGCUAACUACGUGCCAGCAGCCGCGGUAAUACGUAGGGGGCAAGCGUUAUCCGGAUUUACUGGGUGUAAAGGGAGCGUAGACGGCAUGGCAAGUCUGAAGUGAAAGCCCGGGGCUCAACCCCGGGACUGCUUUUGGAACUGUCAGGCUUGNGUGCUGGAAAGGUAAGUGGAAUUCCUAGUGUAGCGGUGAAAUGCGUAAAUAUUUAGAGGAACACCCGUGGCGGAAGGCGGCUUACUUGACCAGGGACCGACGUUGAGGCUGGAAAGCGUGGGGCGCCUACAAGAGUCGCUNCCCUGGUAGUCCACGCCGUAAACGAAGACUACUAGGUGUCGGGUAGCAAAGAUAUUCGGUGCCGCAGCAAAACGCAAUAAGUAGUCCACCUGGGGAGUACGUUCGCAAGAAUGAAACUCAAAGGAAUAGACGGGGACCCGCACAAGCGGUGGAGCAUGUGGUUUAAUUCGAAGCAACGCGAAGAACCUUACCUGAUCUUAACAUCCCGAUGCCCGCUCCGUAAUGGGAGCCUUUCUUCGGAACAUCGGUGACAGGUGGUGCAUGGUUGUCGUCAGCUCGUGUCGUGAGAUGUUGGGUUAAGUCCCGCAACGAGCGCAACCCCUAUCUUUAGUAGCCAGCAUUUAAGGUGGGCACUCUAGAGAGACUGCCAGGGAUAACCUGGAGGAAGGUGGGGAGGACGUCAAAUCAUCAUGCCCCCUAUGACCAGGGCUACACACGUGCUACAAUGGCGUAAACAAAGGGAAGCGAGCCCGCGAGGGGGAGCAAAUCCCAAAAAUAACGUCUCAGUUCGGAUUGUAGUCUGCAACUCGACUACAUGAAGCUGGAAUCGCUAGUAAUCGCGAAUCAGAAUGUCGCGGUGAAAAAGUUCCCGGGUCUUGCAC
rnacentral:rRNA from 1 species